rnacentral:ncRNA from 1 species
GGUCUUCGAAGGCGAUGGUUUGCGUAAUAGCUCAUCACCUUCUACCUCCCUGUUGGACUUAGGCCGGGCUUCGUGCCCGGCUUUUUUU